rnacentral:rRNA from 1 species
AAAUUGAAGAGUUUGAUCAUGGCUCAGAUUGAACGCUGGCGGCAGGCCUAACACAUGCAAGUCGAACGGUAACAGGAAGCAGCUUGCUGCUUUGCUGACGAGUGGCGGACGGGUGAGUAAUGUCUGGGAAACUGCCUGAUGGAGGGGGAUAACUACUGGAAACGGUGGCUAAUACCGCAUAACGUCGCAAGACCAAAGAGGGGGACCUUCGGGCCUCUUGCCAUCAGAUGUGCCCAGAUGGGAUUAGCUUGUUGGUGAGGUAACGGCUCACCAAGGCGACGAUCCCUAGCUGGUCUGAGAGGAUGACCAGCCACACUGGAACUGAGACACGGUUCAGACUCCUACGGGAGGCAGCAGUGGGGAAUAUUGCACAAUGGGCGCAAGCCUGAUGCAGCCAUGCCGCGUGUAUGAAGAAGGCCUUCGGGUUGUAAAGUACUUUCAGCGGGGAGGAAGGUGUUGUGGUUAAUAACCACAGCAAUUGACGUUACCCGCAGAAGAAGCACCGGCUAACUCCGUGCCAGCAGCCGCGGUAAUACGGAGGGUGCAAGCGUUAAUCGGAAUUACUGGGCGUAAAGCGCACGCAGGCGGUCUGUCAAGUCGGAUGUGAAAUCCCCGGGCUCAACCUGGGAA